rfam:Glycine soja cultivar W05 scaffold4774_27, whole genome shotgun sequence.
ACAAUUAGACUCGUACCUCUGUGUCCUUGAGUUCUAAGGAGACAGGAACCUACGUCUGCUGGAUGAACCAUGACCGUGUGAUCAGAGCGUGAUUAACCGCCUGAUGAGCUUGUCUUUGGAGGAAUCUCAUCUUGGGCUGUAGAGGAUCUUUCUUAGACACACUUCCAUGUGCCAAGGAUGAUCACACGGUUGUCUGACAGAUU